UUGAGAAACAGAGGCCAGGGUAGCGCUUCUCUCUUGGCCACAAACUAUUUCUUCCUCAGGGCAGUAUUUCCCAAUUACACUUUCCUGUCAUCAUCACCUCUUUCUUAUCUAGGUUCAUCAAGAUUUUUGCCAAGUUUCUAUGCUGCUAAGUCACUGGGAAAAUUGGGACCCCACACCAAGAUGAUCAUCUUAGAAAUGCACAAAA
rfam:Choloepus hoffmanni cont1.19220, whole genome shotgun sequence.